rnacentral:lncRNA from 1 species
UGCAUGUGGAGCUUUCCACCCUUCCAGAACACUCUCAUGUGUCCCUGAGCUUUAUUCUUACAGCAACCCAGGGAGCUGAUCAGCAUGAAUGAGGCUGGAAGGAGGCUCAGAGAAUCCAUCUUCCCAGUGAACUUGAAACACAAGAAGCAAGUGGAGCAGAGGGGAGAGAAUCUCUUUGAAAACGCAGUGGGAGACAGAGCCAAGUAACGGAAAGAAACAAGGACUAGUGACAUCAUUUGACUCCUUUGAUCAAGUCACCUCUAACCAUGAACUUUUCACUGACAGUUAAUAAAUUAAUAUUUUGCUUAAGCAAGUUUGUAUUAAGUUUUUUUUUUUAAUUUUGCUGCUGCUGACACCCCUGCUACUUAAUGGAAAGAGGAUUUUC